rfam:Myotis davidii contig194185, whole genome shotgun sequence.
GGCGGUUCUCGGGUAAUGCACCCAAGAAUCAGGCUCCCUCCUCUCUGGUUCCAGUGUGGCACCCGAGAACCAUA